GAGGGGCAGCGCGGGAUAGCAAUAUCCUGGCGGCGACCGGCGGAAGGGUGCGUAACGCGUGAGCGACAUGCCCGUUGCCCGGGGACAACCGGUGGAAACGCCGACUAAUCCCCGAUGGGAUACGAUGCUUCAUGGCAUUGUAUUGAAAGUUACGGCGGCGACGGAUUGGCUCGCGUCCGAUUAGCUGGUUGGCGGGGUAACGGCCCACCAAGGCUACGAUCGGUAGGGGUUCUGAGAGGAAGGCCCCCCACAAUGGGACUGAGACACGGCCCAUACUCCUACGGGAGGCAGCAGUGAGGAAUAUUGGUCAAUGGGCGGAAGCCUGAACCAGCCAUGCCGCGUGCGGGAAGGAGGCCCUAUGGGCUGUGAACCGCUUUUGCCUGGGGGCAAUGAGGGCGUCGCGCACGUCCGAUGAGAGUACCAGGCGAAUAAGCAUCGGCUAACUCCGUGCCAGCAGCCGCGGUAAUACGGGGGAUGCGAGCGUUAUCCGGAUUCAUUGGGUUUAAAGGGUGCGUAGGCUGUGCGUCAAGUCGGGGGUGAAAUUCCGGUGCUCAACACCGGGGCUGCCCUUGAUACUGUCGCGCUGGAGUGCGGAUGCCGCCGGAGGAAUGAGUGGUGUAGCGGUGAAAUGCUUAGAUAUCACUCAGAACACCGAUUGCGAAGGCAUCUGGCGAAUCCGUAACUGACGCUGAGGCACGAAAGCGUGGGGAUAGAACAGGAUUAGAUACCCUGGUAUUCCACGCCGUAAACGAUGAUGGCUAACCGCCGGCGACAGACUGUCGGUGGCCAAGCGAAAGCGAUAAGCCAUCCACCUGGGGAGUACGUCGGCAACGAUGAAACUCAAAGGAAUUGACGGGGGCCCGCACAAGCGGAGGAACAUGUGGUUUAAUUCGAUGAUACGCGAGGAACCUUACCCGGGCUCGAACGGCACCUGAAUCACCCAGAGAUGGGCGAGUCUUCGGACAGGUGUCGAGGUGCUGCAUGGUUGUCGUCAGCUCGUGCCGUGAGGUGUCGGCUCAAGUGCCAUAACGAGCGCAACCCCUGCCGCCAGUUGCCAUCAGGUGAAGCUGGGCACUCU
rnacentral:rRNA from 1 species